GAAAAGAAGAACAGAGGAUUGAAGAUUGAUUUGAAAGCAAUAUGAAAGUUGGACGAAAAGGUGAUUGUUGAGGGAGACAUUAGAAAAUACUCUCUCAAAGAACCGGAGACGCAUCUCACUAAGCCACUACCUGCCGAUCAAAACACAUUUUGCAACCAGAAGCAAGAAAUUUUUCAUGACAUAAAUAAAUCAGAAAUUAAAUUAUCUUCCCCAUUAGGUUGUCCGUUAAUUAGACUCAACCUCAGAUCCAACUGCACUAAUCCAUCUUUUGCCGAAGCAAUGGGUUAUCCUGUCCAAAGAUGGAACUACCGCAGACCCCUAAAAUACACAAACAAAAGUUAACAAAUGCGAGGACAUCCACCAUCAAUUUAGCUUCAAGAGGAAAAGCGAAGCCGGGAUUUGAAGAUGAAUUUUAAAAAGUCAAAACGAUUCUAAAAUUUGGGUGAUAAGGAUAAUUACAAAGAGACAGAAGGUAAUAUAAACUUAGAAUCAAACUGGUCAACAUCUGAAACCGACAAGGCACAUCUUGGCGCCCUAAUUUGUCGCCACCUGCUGACUAUCAACACGAUCAAAACCAAAGGUCCAGAACAGCAUCUUGCUAUUGUUAUUAUUCUUUAGACGAGACAAAGAUUAAACAGGUAGGGACUCUUUCAUGGUAAAAUAGAAGUUCACCUGUACCAUAUACUCUGAUUCGCCUCAGCCAAACAUCUUACGUGGUAACCAAACUUCUCAGGACUUCACACAAAACUAUAAUAUACUCAAACUUGAAGCUUUAUUCUUCUACCAAAAAGCAUAUUUUAACCAUUUCCGACGAAUUCUACGGCAC
rnacentral:lncRNA from 1 species